UACGUAGGGUGCGAGCGUUGUCCGGAAUUAUUGGGCGUAAAGAGCUUGUAGGCGGUUUGUCGCGUCUGCUGUGAAAAUCCGGGGCUCAACCCCGGACUUGCAGUGGGUACGGGCAGACUAGAGUGUGGUAGGGGAGACUGGAAUUCCUGGUGUAGCGGUGAAAUGCGCAGAUAUCAGGAGGAACACCGGUGGCGAAGGCGGGUCUCUGGGCCGUAACUGACGCUGAGGAGCGAAAGCAUGGGGAGCGAGCAGG
rnacentral:rRNA from 1 species